UUUGUGAACUCAUACCUUACUGUUGCCUCGGCGCAGGCCGGCCCCCCCAGGGGGCCCCUCGGAGACGAGGAGCAGGCCCGCCGGCGGCCAAGCCAACUCUUGUUUUUACACCGAAACUCUGAGCAAAAAACACAAAUGAAUCAAAACUUUCAACAACGGAUCUCUUGGUUCUGGCAUCGAUGAAGAACGCAGCGAAAUGCGAUAAGUAAUGUGAAUUGCAGAAUUCAGUGAAUCAUCGAAUCUUUGAACGCACAUUGCGCCCUCUGGUAUUCCGGAGGGCAUGCCUGUUCGAGCGUCAUUUCAACCCUCAAGCCUGGCUUGGUGUUGGGGCACUGCCUGUAGAAGGGCAGGCCCUGAAAUCUAGUGGCGGGCUCGCCAGGACCCCGAGCGCAGUAGUUAAACCCUCGCUCGGGAGGCCCUGGCGGUGCCCUGCCGUUAAACCCCCAACUUCUGAA
rnacentral:rRNA from 1 species